UCCCUGGUGGCCUAGCAGUUAAGGAUUCAGUGUUGUCACUGCUGUGGCUCGGGUUCAAUUCCUGGCCCGGGAA
rnacentral:tRNA from 1 species